rnacentral:rRNA from 1 species
GGGAGGCAGCAGUGAGGAAUAUUGGUCAAUGGCCGGAAGGCUGAACCAGCCAAGUCGCGUGAGGGAAUAAAACCUUACGGGUCGUAAACCUCUUUUGCCAGGGAGCAAUGCCGUCCACGUGUGGACGGAAGGAGAGUACCUGGAGAAAAAGCAUCGGCUAACUCCGUGCCAGCAGCCGCGGUAAUACGGAGGAUGCGAGCGUUAUCCGGAUUUAUUGGGUUUAAAGGGUGCGUAGGCGGCCUGCCAAGUCAGCGGUAAAAUUGCGGGGCUCAACCCCGUACAGCCGUUGAAACUGCCGGGCUCGAGUGGGCGAGAAGUAUGCGGAAUGCGUGGUGUAGCGGUGAAAUGCAUAGAUAUCACGCAGAACCCCGAUUGCGAAGGCAGCAUACCGGCGCCCGACUGACGCUGAGGCACGAAAGUGCGGGGAUCAAACAGGAUUAGAUACCCUGGUAGUCCGCACAGUAAACGAUGAAUGCUAGCUGUCCGGGGGGAUUGACCCCUGGGUGGCACAGCGAAAGCGUUAAGCAUUCCACCUGGGGAGUACGCCGGCAACGGUGAAACUCAAAGGAAUUGACGGGGGCCCGCACAAGCGGAGGAACAUGUGGUUUAAUUCGAUGAUACGCGAGGAACCUUACCCGGGCUCAAACGCCGAAGGGACAUUCCCCGAAAGGGGAUUGGCCAGCAAUGGUCUUCGGCGAGGUGCUGCAUGGUUGUCGUCAGCUCGUGCCGUGAGGUGUCGGCUUAAGUGCCAUAACGAGCGCAACCCCCACCGACAGUUGCUAACUGGUCAAGCAGAGGACUCUGUCGGGACUGCCGGCGCAAGCUGCGAGGAAGGCGGGGAUGACGUCAAAUCAGCACGGCCCUUACGUCCGGGGCGACACACGUGUUACAAUGGCAGGUACAGCGGGAUGCCAUGGGGCGACCCAGAGCGGAACCCGAAAACCUGUCUCAGUUCGGAUUGGAGUCUACAACCCGACUCCAUGAAGCUGGAUUCGCUAGUAAUCGCGCAUCAGCCACGGCGCGGUGAAUACGUUCCCGGGCCUUGCACACACCGCCCGUCAAG